rnacentral:rRNA from 1 species
AUUGAACGCUGGCGGCAGGCCUAACACAUGCAAGUCGAGCGCGAAAGUCUUCGGAUGAGUAAAGCGGCGGACGGGUGAGUAAUGCAUGGGAAUCUGCCUGGUAGUGGGGGACAACGCUUCGAAAGAGACGCUAAUACCGCAUACGCCCUACGGGGGAAAGGGGGGGAUCUUCGGACCUCUCGCUAUCAGAUGAGCCCAUGUCAGAUUAGCUAGUUGGUAGGGUAAAGGCCUACCAAGGCGACGAUCUGUAACUGGUCUGAGAGAAUGAUCAGUCACACUGGAACUGAGACGCGGUCCAGACUCCUACGGGAGGCAGCAGUGGGGAGUAUUGGACAAUGGUGGCAACCCUGAUCCAGCCAUGCCGCGUGUGUGAAGAAGGCCCUAUGGUUGUAAAGCACUUUCAGUGGGGAGAAAGGUUGUUCAGUUAAUACCUGAAUGAAUUGAUGUUACCCACAGAAGAAGCACCGGCUAACUCCGUGCCAGCCGCCGCCGUAA